GUAGUUUGAUCGUGGCUCAGGAUGAACGCCGGCGGUGUGCCUAAUACAUGCAGGUCGUACGCACUGGCCCAACUGAUUAGAUGGUGCUUGCACCUGAUCGACGAUGGAUCACCAGUGAGUGGCGGACGGUGAGUAACACGUAGGUAACCUGCCCUGUACAGGGGAUAACAAUCAGAAUGACUGCUAAUACCGCAUAAGACCACAGCACCGCAUGGUGCAGGGGUAAAAACUCCGGU
rnacentral:rRNA from 1 species